rnacentral:misc_RNA from 1 species
GAUGAAGAACGUAGCGAAAUGCGAUACGUAAUGUGAAUUGCAGAAUUCAGUGAAUCAUCGAAUCUUUGAACGCAUAUUGCGCUCUCUGGUAUUCCGGAGAGCAUGCUUGUUUGAGUAUCAGUAAACACCUCAACUUCCAUAUCUUUUUUGAAAUGGGAGUUGGACUUGAGUGAUCCCAACGCUUUUCCUCACCGAAAAGUGGCGGGUUACUUGAAAUGCAGGUGCAGCUGGACUUUUCUCUGAGCUAUAAGCAUAUCUAUUUAGUCUGCCUAAAAAACAGAUUAUUACCUUUGCUGCAGCUAACAUAAAGGAGAUUAGUUCUUGUGCUGACUGAUGCAGGAUUCACAAAGACGGCUUCGGCCGACUUUGUAAACUCGAUCUCAAAUCAAGUAAGACUACCCGCUGAACUUAAGCAUAUCAAUAAGCGGAGUA